UACGUAGGGUGCGAGCGUUGUCCGGAAUUAUUGGGCGUAAAGAGCUCGUAGGCGGUUUGUCGCGUCGACUGUGAAACCCGAGGCUUAACCUCGGGCCUGCAGUCGAUACGGGCAGACUAGAGUUCGGUAGGGGAGACUGGAAUUCCUGGUGUAGCGGUGAAAUGCGCAGAUAUCAGGAGGAACACCGGUGGCGAAGGCGGGUCUCUGGGCCGAUACUGACGCUGAGGAGCGAAAGCGUGGGGAGCGAACAGG
rnacentral:rRNA from 1 species